AACGUAGGAGACAAACGUUAUCCGGAGUUACUGGGCGUAAAGGGCGUGUAGGUGGUUGCGUAAGUCUGGCGUGAAAUAUCUCGGCUUAACCGAGGCAGGUCGUCGGAUACUGCGUAACUGGAGGACGGUAGAGGUGUGUGGAAUUCCGGGUGUAGUGGUGAAAUGCGUAGAGAUCCGGAGGAACACCAGUGGCGAAGGCGACACGCUGGGCCGUACCUGACACUGAUGCGCGACAGCAUGGGGAGCAAACAGG
rnacentral:rRNA from 1 species